GAUGAACGCUGGCGGCGUGCCUAAUACAUGCAAGUCGAGCGAACUGAUUAGAAGCUUGCUUCUAUGACGUUAGCGGCGGACGGGUGAGUAACACGUGGGCAACCUGCCUGUAAGACUGGGAUAACUUCGGGAAACCGAAGCUAAUACCGGAUAGGAUCUUCUCCUUCAUGGGAGAUGAUUGAAAGAUGGUUUCGGCUAUCACUUACAGUUGGGCCCGCGGUGCAUUAGCUAGUUGGUGAGGUAACGGCUCACCAAGGCAACGAUGCAUAGCCGACCUGAGAGGGUGAUCGGCCACACGGGGACUGAGACACGGCCCAGACUCCUACGGGAGGCAGCAGUAGGGAAUCUUCCGCAAUGGACGAAAGUCUGACGGAGCAACGCCGCGUGAGUGAUGAAGGCUUUCGGGUCGUAAAACUCUGUUGUUAGGGAAGAACAAGUACGAGAGUAACUGCUCGUACCUUGACGGUACCUAACCAGAAAGCCACGGCUAACUACGUGCCAGCCGCCGCUGUAAAAC
rnacentral:rRNA from 1 species